ensembl:lncRNA
CUUCAGGGGGCAGCAGCAAGGUGCUAGUCAACAUUGAGUGCAAAUUCCAGAACCGCUCAGCAGCAGCAGAAGGGGGGCAGCGGCUCCCAGAUCAAUCCCACAGCUACAAGACCGAGUUGUUCUGGCCCUUGAAGGUACAGGAGAAGUGGCAGUUCCCGCAUGGCUUCCAUGAGCUGCGCAGCCUUACUGGGCACCCCAAAUACAAGACAGAGCUGUGCCGCACCUUCCACACCAUCAGCUUCUGCUCCUGCAGCCCACGCUGCUAUUUCAUCCACAACGCAGACUAGCAGUCGCCCGCGCCAUUGGGGGUGGGGGGGGGAGGGUUGGUGGCGCCUCCGGGGACCUCCAGGGACCUGCGAGCCUUUGGUGCGCACGGCGCCCUGCACCUGGGCUUUGCCCGGGAGCCGUGGCCAAUGUUGCACCACAGCCUCAGUUUCUCCAGCUUCCCGUCAGGCCACCACCAGGUGCCGGGGGACCGGAGUCCCCGCUGCUGCUCGACAGCCCCACAUCUCGCAUGCCGCGGCCCUCCUGCUUCUCAGCUUAGUCUUGUUUCUCAUCAGCCUCUUCCAGCUCUUCUGCCUCGACGGCCUCCAUGCCCCCGGGCGGCUGGAGUGCUCCACCACAGCGGCUGUGGCGGCCACGCUGUGCUGCGCUGCAGCCGCCAUGCCGGGCACCACUUGCUCCGACCACCUCGUGUGCCAACAAUGCCUUUGAAAGACCCCCGGAGUGGGGAGACCCUCACUCAAGUCUCGGGAUGACGCGACCCCCCAAGAACUCACACAAGACCGUCCUUGUAACCACAUGAGGUUUAUCGAUAGCAACCAGUGCACUGGGGUCGAGACUCGUAUCCCACGCAGGGACAGUGGAGUUCGACCCUGAGAGGCUGGGAGAAGAGGGGGGCAACUUUAAAACUUUUAUCUUUCACCUUCACCUUUGGCCUGGAGCUGAGCUGCCUAAUCACGCCACUUGCCAACAAGACCCACAGCUUCGCCGCCGCAGUUGCCGCCUACUACCGCAGCCAGCAGCAGGGCCUGGCGGACCCGCGCCGCCCCCUGCACAGCCCGCCAUGACCCCCACACCAGCUUCUCGGCCCUUCAGCUUCCAGCUGCUGCUCCAUUUGUCGGAGUCGCCAGUGUUCCACGCACCUCCCCGUCCCCCGGACUCGCUGUCAGACCGAGACAGUUACCUGAGUGGCUCGCUGAGCUCCCGCAGCCUCAGUGGCUCCGAGUCCCGCAGGCUGGGCCCUGGUCACCGCUUGCCCAUCUUCAGCCGCCUCUCCAUAUCUGAGGACUGAGGCAAGGGUGCCCGAGAGGGGUUGGGAGAGGCGUUACAGGGGGCACUGUUGGGGGAGUGACACUGCCGCAGGCCCCUCUGAGCACUUGGACUCAAACUCUGCCUGGAGGGGCCCCUCCCCUUCCCUUUCAGUUUUCUGGUUUCACUCUAUUAUUAUUAUUACUAUCAUUAUUACUACUAUUAUUAUUAUUAUUGCAAAGUUUUGUUCUUGUUUAAAUAAAAGCUAACGAACUUUUCGUAUGGAUGAACAAAAUACCCACAACAGGGCGGUUGGGAUGCAGAAAGAACAAAGAAUACCAAACACUUGGUUUAGGUCUCAGAAGAGUUUGAAACUCUAGUUUUAAAAGAAAAAAGAAUCAGCCCAUCACCAGCAGCUACCAACCACCAUUCCAUCUUUUCUUUCACUGGAAAGCCUUAGCUACAGUCCAGAUGUGAGAACUCUGACCUUGGAAGGGGUUCCAAGACCAGUGUGAGCCCGCCGGCUGCCACCUCCCUAAGGGAUAAGCUUCUAGAAUUCAAACUAAUGCCAAGAACAUGCCUUGGUAGGAGUAGCUCUGGGCCUCCUUCCUGGUGGUUGUUUACCUUGUUUAUGUUUUUUUAACAAAGUUCUAUGUGUCUGGGAGUGGAGGAGAUCUUGCAUUCCAAAAUUUGGUAACAGUCUCCUUGCCAGCACUCAGUGGGUGUUUAGCUUAGAACCAUUUCCUCUGCUCUCUCGAAGCCUUGGGCAGAGCUCAGUUCAUAGUUGUUGGGAAAUAAGUGCUUCAUUUUUAGCUGUUUUGAGUUGAUCCGCACCACUGCACCACAACUCAAUAUGAAAAAACAUUUAACUUAUUAUUCUUGUGAAAAGUAUACAUUUGAGGAUUCUUACAAUACUGUAUUUAUCGAGUAUGGUGAAAGCAAUAGAUAUAUAUUCUUUCAUUAUGUUAAAUUAUAAUUGCCAUUAUUAAUCGGCAAAACAUGUGUUCUUUUCACAGUAAUAUAUGCCUUUGUAACUUCACUUGGUUAUUUUAUUGUAAAUGAGUAAAAAAAUUCUUAAUUUAAGAGAUUAUAUGUAAUAUUUAUUUCAUUAAUUUCUUUCCAUGUUCAUGUAAAUUUUGAAAGAUUGCAUGGUUUCUUUACAGAAAUCUAUCUUGAUGCUGUGGAAGUAGUAUGAGGAACAUUUUGAGUUUUUUUAGAAUGUAUAAUGGUUGUAGUCCAUCCGACUUUAAAGAGGAAAAGAAUGCCCAGAGACUCUGCAGUCAGACUCACGUGGUAUGCGUCUUCAGUUCCAGCUUUAUAAACCAGCAAGGAAAGACAGUUUCCUAGUUCCACCAGCUCUACUGUGACAUUGAGUAUAAAGACAUGUAGCAAUAAUGGGGGGGGGGGGUCUCAGUGCCUUCACAGGGCCCGAACUUGCCUUAAAUCUUCCUCAACCAAUUAAGUAUCUCAUUAGUGCUUGAGAAUUUGAAUGUGGGAUGGGUUUGCCUGCACAAGAGGAAAAGUUUUUUUUUCUUUUCUUUUCUUUUCUUUU